rnacentral:tRNA from 1 species
ACUUAAAUAAUUUAUUUAAAAUAUUGAUUUGUGGAGUCAAAAAUAUAUAAUUUUAUAUUUUAAGUA